UACGAAGGGGGCUAGCGUUGCUCGGAAUCACUGGGCGUAAAGGGCGCGUAGGCGGCCAUUCAAGUCAGGGGUGAAAGCCUGUGGCUCAACCACAGAAUUGCCUUUGAUACUGUUUGGCUAGAGACCGGAAGAGGUAAGUGGAACUGCGAGUGUAGAGGUGAAAUUCGUAGAUAUUCGCAAGAACACCAGUGGCGAAGGCGGCUUACUGGUCCGGUUCUGACGCUGAGGCGCGAAAGCGUGGGGAGCAAACAGGAUUAG
rnacentral:rRNA from 1 species